rnacentral:lncRNA from 1 species
UAAUCACACAUAAACUGCAAUAACCCGGUGAAAACAAGUGAACAUGUCACUGUAAAUCUCCUGUAACACAAUAUGUGCAUUGCUCGCUGUCUGUAAUGAGCUCUGUGUUUAUGAUAAUGAUGUGAUGACAGGGAAACAAUGCUCACUGUAACUAUGAUCAACAUAAUAAUGAUUAUAUUAGUCACAAACACGAACCUGCACCGCCGGAAACGCGCCAGCUCGCUCCCGAUGACGUCGCGUCACUUCAGAGCCGUGAUUAUGACUUUAAUAAAAAAUCUGUUCAAUAAUAACUGAACUUUAAUCGAAAAAGUCGCUUUAACUCGAGCUAACUCACACCACCCUGGCUUACAGUAGCGAUGACUUCACCUCCGGCAGAGCCAGUUCCGGCUGUUAUUGUUAAUUUUUGCUUUGUCAAGAUAAUACAAUUAUUUAUUGUUAAACUUUUAAAGUCGUGUUGAAUAAUACAAUAUAUCUGUCUCCACAUGUAUACUGGGUUUUUGCUGUAUAUUAUGGGUUCUGUUAUUAUUUAAUCCUUUCACAAGCGAGUCCCUCAUGAGGACUUUUAUCUGGAGAUUCAAGUGCGCAUGCCCGGAAGAGGAUCUUCAGCGUGAUCAGAUUAAAUGUAAACUGCGUUUCUUCAGCAUUAAAUGUGCUUAUUAAGUUAAUCGAUCGAUCUGAUCGAUCUUCACAGCAUUGUUUGACUCCAAGACUCGAUUGGUACCGAUUCAGAUGAUUCACUAACUGAUUCAGGAUUCACUCGACGCGCGGACAGGAUGGUGUGUGAGCUGCUGCUGUCCUCGGUGUGGUUUCUCUUCGUCAUCUUCUGGCUGGAGACCAUCAGCGUGUGGCUCUUUCUGUGUCUGUACUAUCAGGACCGGGUCUUCUAUCACUGGGGCUCAGGGGGGUUUGCAGAUGAUCCGGAUCAGUUCCUCUACGUGCUGAGCAGGAUUGAUCUGUCAACACACAUGCAAACGUGAGGAGGUGAUGUCGUCAGUUGGGAGAGGUGUAGCCUGAGGAUGAGGGCGGGGCUGCCGUGAGGGGCGGAGCUCCGCUAGUCUGCGAUGAGGAGUUUCAGGAGGCCGAUGGGAAGGGCGUGAUGUUAUCCUGUAGUCCUGAACUCAGACUGGUGACCUGUGUGAACGGUUUAUCUGUCUAAUCUGUUAAACUAGUUGGAGAUUCGGCUGUUACUUUCACUCUAUAAAACACUAACAGAUCCUUGUCGAAUUAUUGCUUUUCUAUUUUUGUACAGAUGUGUGUUUUUGCAUCAUGAUGUUGUGUAAUAAAAGCCAUUUUACAGACUUUUCAUACAGGUUUCUUUUUUGUACACGUACAUGAGCUCAGCAUGAUUUUAUUUAUUUAUUUAACAUUUCAUUCAUCAUUUCAUCUCGCACUGACCCUCAGUCAACACACUCUGACCCACAAUGCAUACAGAAAAAUAGAUGCACAUAACAAUUGUUUCUUUUUAUUCAUGUUUAUACACAGUGUUGACAAAUAAGACAGUUAUAAUCAUUUAUAGCAAACUCUGCUGUUUUUAAACCACAAUAUAGUAAAGUACUGAAAUUGUGGUGAUCCUACAGUUGCUAUAGUAACACAACUACAGUAAUUGAUCUGUUGUGGUGAUCCUACAGUUGCUAUAGUAACACAAGUACAGUAAUUAACCUGUUGUGGUGAUUCUACAGUUGCUAUAGUAACACAAGUACAGUAAUUAACCUGUUGUGGUGAUUCUACAGUUGCUAUAGUAACACAAGUACAGUAAUUAACCUGUUGUGGUGAUUCUACAGUUGCUAUGGUAACACAACUACAGUAAUUGAUCUGUUGUGGUGAUCCUACAGUUGCUAUAGUAACACAAGUACAGUAAUUAACCUGUUGUGGUGAUUCUACAGUUGCUAUAGUAACACAACUACAGUAAUUGAUCUGUUGUGGUGAUUCUACAGUUGCUAUAGUAACACAAGUACAGUAAUUAACCUGUUGUGGUGAUCCUACAGUUGCUAUAGUAACACAACUACAGUAAUUGAUCUGUUGUGGUGAUCCUACAGUUGCUAUAGUAACACAAGUACAGUAAUUAACCUGUUGUGGUGAUUCUACAGUUGCUAUAGUAACACAAGUACAGUAAUUAACCUGUUGUGGUGAUCCUACAGUUGCUAUAGUAACACAACUACAGUAAUUGAUCUGUUGUGGUGAUCCU